UUGCACUGACAUGUGUCCUCUGUGUCUAUUCCGUGGCUAGGGGUUCGCUUAACGGUGCUAGAUCAAAUCCCUUCUUGGAGAUAGGGACAGGUUACAAGAAAGCCUGGCCUACUGAUAGUUGGGUACAAGC